GCAAAGUUGUCAAGAAUGUCAAAAGGUUUAAACAUUUAACUAAAUAGGGUCUCAGGUCACUAAAACAAUACUUAGUUACCUAUCUAACCAAAAUGACAAUAAAAGAAUGCAAAAAUAAAUAUGUGAGGUAAAAUGCUUGUCUUUUACCAAAAACCUUAGGCAUUCUCAAAGUAAGAUUUGGUUGGUUCUCUUACAUAAUCAUGAACCUGGUAAAGAGGAUGGAAAGCACAGAAAUUGUUUGGAUUUUUGUUUUGUUUGUUUUCCAGUACUAGGGAUUGAACCAUGAGGUUAUACCUUCAGACUUUUUUAUUUCUUAUUUUGAGACAGGGUCUCCCUAAAUUGCAGAGACUAUCCUCAAAUUUAUAAUCCUCCUACCUCCACCUCCAAGUUGCUGGGGUUACAGGCAUGUGCCAAUAUACCUGGAUCUGGAAAUGAUUUUGAUACAGAAUAUCUGUUUUUUAAAUGGAUUAGCAAAAAAUAAAGAAAAAUCUUUCAUAGUCACUCAUCAGAAGCUGGCCACUAACUUCUUGGGAGCUUGAUCUCAAACUUCCAGCUUCAAGAACUUUUGAGAAUAUAAAUAUCCGUUUAAGCCACCCAGUCUCUGAAACUUUGGUAUGGUGGUUUGAACAAAUUAAUUCAACAUUGCAACAUAAAAAUUUCCUUUCCUUAAACUUUCUACAACUUUCCAUAUCCAUUGAGGUUUUGCCCUGUAUUCUCUCCCAUUCAAAGAAAAAUAGUCAUUUUGCUUGAAGACAAAAUGAUGCUUUUCUCCUUCACCAAAAAACAUCUUACCUUCCUUACAUACCUUUCAUUCAAGGUUGCUUCCCCUAGUUCUUUAUUAUUUCUAAAAGUUUUAUUUAUAUACAUAGAUUAUUAUUUUUAAUCCUUAGUAAUAUUUAUCUUCCAGAGAAAACUCAGAAGUGAACAAUUAUGAACUGUAACAUACUAAUAUGUUAGUAUGUU
rnacentral:lncRNA from 1 species